rnacentral:lncRNA from 1 species
UAAAAUAUCGCAAUUUUAUAGUUCGGGGGGGGAACCGGACAAAAAGCCGAGUAAGACGCAAAGGGGGCCUCAUGAACCGUACUGUGUUCCUUCCCCCCUGCAGCGCUUUAGCGCUGCGCGCAGGAGUCGACCUCGAAGUGCGGGCAGCGUGGCAGCAACUGCAAGGCGGGGGCAGGCAGAGCAGAGCAGGAGGCUGCUGACCCC